rnacentral:ribozyme from 1 species
UCCACGUAACCAACUGAAUAACAAAAAUGAAUUCAAAGACUCUAGAGGAAUUACAUAGUCUCUUUAUUUUCUACUCCCAUAUCCAUGUGUCCAUGGCGUACAGAAAAUGUUUAGUAAUGUGUGUCUCUAAAAAAUCUGGGCUUAGGCAUUCGAUGAAAGGUACGAGAGAUAUAUCGAAAUUGAGUUGA